CAACAACGACUCUCGGCAACGGAUAUCUCGGCUCUCGCAUCGAUGAAGAACGUAGCGAAAUGCGAUACUUGGUGUGAAUUGCAGAAUCCCGUGAACCAUCGAGUCUUUGAACGCAAGUUGCGCCCCAAGCCGUCAGGCCGAGGGCACGCCUGCCUGGGCGUCACGCAA
rnacentral:rRNA from 1 species